GGUAUCAGAAGUGCGAAUGCUGACAUAAGUAACGAUAAAGCGGGUGAAAAGCCCGCUCGCCGGAAGACCAAGGGUUCCUGUCCAACGUUAAUCGGGGCAGGGUGAGUCGACCCCUAAGGCGAGGCCGAAAGGCGUAGUCGAUGGGAAACGGGUUAAUAUUCCCGUACUUGGUGUUACUGCGAAGGGGGGACGGAGAAGGCUAUGUUGGCCGGGCGACGGUUGUCCCGGUUUAAGCGUGUAGGUGUGUGUUCCAGGUAAAUCCGGUUCACUUUAACACUGAGGCGUGAUGACGAGGCACUACGGUGCUGAAGCAACAAAUGCCCUGCUUCCAGGAAAAGCCUCUAAGCAUCAGGUAACAUCAAAUCGUACCCCAAACCGACACAGGUGGUCAGGUAGAGAAUACCAAGGCGCUUGAGAGAACUCGGGUGAAGGAACUAGGCAAAAUGGUGCCGUAACUUCGGGAGAAGGCACGCUGACACGUAGGUGAAGUGAUUUACUCAUGGAGCUGAAGUCAGUCGAAGAUACCAGCUGGCUGCAACUGUUUAUUAAAAACACAGCACUGUGCAAACACGAAAGUGGACGUAUACGGUGUGACGCCUGCCCGGUGCCGGAAGGUUAAUUGAUGGGGUCAGCGUAAGCGAAGCUCCUGAUCGAAGCCCCGGUAAACGGCGGCCGUAACUAUAACGGUCCUAAGGUAGCGAAAUUCCUUGUCGGGUAAGUUCCGACCUGCACGAAUGGCGUAAUGAUGGCCAGGCUGUCUCCACCCGAGACUCAGUGAAAUUGAACUCGCUGUGAAGAUGCAGUGUACCCGCGGCAAGACGGAAAGACCCCGUGAACCUUUACUAUAGCUUGACACUGAACAUUGAGCCUUGAUGUGUAGGAUAGGUGGGAGGCUUUGAAGUGUGGACGCCAGUCUGCAUGGAGCCGACCUUGAAAUACCACCCUUUAAUGUUUGAUGUUCUAACGUGGACCCGUAAUCCGGGUUGCGGACAGUGUCUGGUGGGUAGUUUGACUGGGGCGGUCUCCUCCUAAAGAGUAACGGAGGAGCACGAAGGUUGGCUAAUCCUGGUCGGACAUCAGGAGGUUAGUGCAAUGGCAUAAGCCAGCUUGACUGCGAGCGUGACGGCGCGAGCAGGUGCGAAAGCAGGUCAUAGUGAUCCGGUGGUUCUGAAUGGAAGGGCCAUCGCUCAACGGAUAAAAGGUACUCCGGGGAUAACAGGCUGAUACCGCCCAAGAGUUCAUAUCGACGGCGGUGUUUGGCACCUCGAUGUCGGCUCAUCACAUCCUGGGGCUGAAGUAGGUCCCAAGGGUAUGGCUGUUCGCCAUUUAAAGUGGUACGCGAGCUGGGUUUAGAACGUCGUGAGACAGUUCGGUCCCUAUCUGCCGUGGGCGCUGGAGAACUGAGGGGGGCUGCUCCUAGUACGAGAGGACCGGAGUGGACGCAUCACUGGUGUUCGGGUUGUCAUGCCAAUGGCACUGCCCGGUAGCUAAAUGCGGAAGAGAUAAGUGCUGAAAGCAUCUAAGCACGAAACUUGCCCCGAGAUGAGUUCU
rnacentral:rRNA from 1 species